UACGUAGGGGGCAAGCGUUAUCCGGAUUUAUUGGGUUUAAAGGGUGCGUAGGCGGACGCUUAAGUCAGCGGUAAAAUUGCGGGGCUCAACCUCGUCGAGCCGUUGAAACUGGGUGCCUUGAGUGGGCGAGAAGUACGCGGAAUGCGUGGUGUAGCGGUGAAAUGCAUAGAUAUCACGCAGAACUCCGAUUGCGAAGGCAGCGUACCGGCGCCCAACUGACGCUGAAGCACGAAGGCGUGGGUAUCGAACAGG
rnacentral:rRNA from 1 species